GGUUUUAGAGCAGGUGUGCAUCCUUUGUUAGAAUCAAUGCAUGGAGAGAAGAGGAGACAUGCACCGGUUUUCAACCUGUGGAUACUGCUGAUGCUACUGAUGGUGAUGAUUCUGCGUCUGCAUAUAUCAUCUUUAAAUUAAAUUAAUAAAGAUGAUAAGAAGAGUUGAACCAAUAUCUGCUUCCUUCUCGAUCCUCUCAAGUCGGAUCAGAAUUUGUGUAUAACGACUUGACAGUACCUAUCUCUAGCAGUCUACAGGCGAGAGGUGGGGUACACCCUGGACAGGCUGCCAUAUCAUUUCAGGGCAACACAAAGGACAAACAACCAUGCACACACCCAAUCGAGAGAGCCACAGUUAUGUUUUUGAACUCUGGCAGGAAGCCAGAGUACCCAGAAAGACCCCGGGCUGGAAGUCAAACCAAGGACCUUUUUUCUGCAAGGCAACAGUACUACCAACUGCGCCAGUGAGCAGCCACAGAAAAUUCAGUCUAGCCCAAAAUUAUCUGUACGCCUAGAGAUAAUUCAAUCAAUCUUUUAAUUUUUCUACAAUGUUUCAUCUGACUGGAAGUAAUCUUAACAUUUUAAAGUGACCCAGCCAGAGUUCUGAAUCUGCUAAAAAAUAUGCUAAAGAUAAGGGUGAGGGCAAGAAGACCUUCCAACCUCAAAGACUCGGAGGUUAUCGGAAAAGGGGAAUUGUGAAAAAUACCAGAGGUGGGGUGCAAAUAGCUGGUCAGCAAUUUUUGACUGGGAUGUUGCUGUGAUCCCAAUAAGGAGUUUUCCAAUCAUUACUGAGAGAGAUGAAUAGGUUUUUACAUAUUAUGCUUUUUGAAAAUGUAAAUAGAAGAAAUUAUUCCUUUUCUUAUAAAAUGGUACCUUUUU